rnacentral:rRNA from 1 species
AACGAACGCUGGCGGCAGGCCUAACACAUGCAAGUCGAACGGGCACCUUCGGGUGUCAGUGGCAGACGGGUGAGUAACGCGUGGGAACCUACCCAGUGGUACGGAAAAACUCGGGGAAACCCGAGCUAAUACCGUAUACGCCCUCAGGGGGAAAGAUUCAUCGCCAUUGGAUGGGCCCGCGUCGGAUUAGCUAGUUGGUGAGGUAACGGCUCACCAAGGCGACGAUCCGUAGCUGGUCUGAGAGGAUGAUCAGCCACACUGGGACUGAGACACGGCCCAGACUCCUACGGGAGGCAGCAGUGGGGAAUAUUGGACAAUGGGCGAAAGCCUGAUCCAGCCAUGCCGCGUGAGUGAAGAAGGCCCUAGGGUUGUAAAGCUCUUUCGGCGGGGAAGAUAAUGACGGUACCCGCAGAAGAAGCCCCGGCUAACUCCGUGCCAGCAGCCGCGGUAAUACGGAGGGGGCUAGUGUUGUUCGGAAUUACUGGGCGUAAAGCGCACGUAGGCGGACUGCUAAGUCGA